rnacentral:rRNA from 1 species
UUGAUCUGCCUAAAACCGCCCGCCUGGGUGCGCUACUGUUGUGACAAACAAACGGGUGCUCAGACUAGUAGUUCCGCCUCUCUUUUAGUCUUUUCGGCUCGCUCAGGGCAGGCAGGGAGGCGGAUAAAUCGUCGACGCGAGCGGCGAAGGAGGAGAGCAGGAGUGGGAGUUAGUGGUGGGGCCUCGCUGCUCGCUCGCUACCGCGCGCAGAGGUUAAGGUUCUUCGCGUACGAGGUGUGGUUGUCGUCGUCGUUGUCGGUUUUGUUUUUCCUCCUGCGCCGGUGGCGGCGCCCCUCGCGGCUGCCGGCGGGGCAGGCGCAGAUGCGGCUGCCGUAGAAGCUGGAGAAGGUGAAGCCGGUGCGGGCGCGGGAGCUCGUCCGGUUCGACGACAAGGGGUUGUGCAUGGACGACCACCCUACGACGUUGCUGCUGGAGUGCGCCGCGAUGUUCCCGUUCUGGCAGUACUUGGUCCUCCUCGCUAUGCUCAGGGACGCGGUGACGUUCACCCAACUACUCCAGUAAGGACUACGAGGGACCCAAGAGUGCGGUCUUAAGUAACUCUGCGUAGUCUAACUGAUACAGCGUGUACUACGAAACGGAAUACGACUAUGGUCGCCACGACGUUUACUGCAGAUACUCAAACAGUUCUUCUAACCUUUUAAGUUCCUUUGUUUUGCCUGACUACCUCAUAGCUGUAGCCUGGAGUAUUACUCCUAUCAGUUCCUGAUGUUGGUCAUACAGUACUCCUUAAAUCGUGCUCCAAUGAGUUCCUUUCUAUACCCGCACUCGAUACAAUUCCUCUUUGUUGACGUUCACUUAUACUUCUAGUUAUUUGAUGCCCUCUGACACUUCCGUGUCGUUCUUUUCAACGUUUGCCACCGCUUCUGCCGACCCUAUUUGGUGCUUCUCACCGACCGCUUGCGCCUAGCAACCCAACGGCCGAAGGACCUCUUCAAGCUCCUCGUGACGGUGCAGUACCUCUGACGGUAGUUCCUGGCCUAUGUCCUCUCCGACCCCUCCGUCCGCCCGUUUCCGUAACGGCCGCCAGAGUACGUCGUCGGCCACCGCCGCCGGACUAGAAAGUCUGGUCCAGAACCACUUCCACACUUGUUUGUGGCUCCUUCGCUCUUCAACAAAUCAACACGAACACAGUACCUUACACUACGAACACGCUCAUUUCACCAACUCAAUCGACUCGUUUAGGAAACAUAAUAAUAACAAAAAAACAACAACCUCCUCCUGCACACACAAACACACACACACAACAAAGUGUCAAAACAUGCGUCUAUACUACAGAUAUCGUCUCCGCAAACCAUAGCCAGCUCGCAGAAUGGAUGAAUGAUACACCUCUCUCAAAACAAUGGGAACAAUAAACAUCCUACAUAGAAGAUAUUACUCUCUUUUCUUCAACGAGGUAAAAAGCACCAAUGAUGUAUUCUUUUUCCCUCGUGUUCUAAUUCUGGUUUUAAAAACAUUGGGUAGUUCAUACGAAAAAAACUUCCUUCUUUUCUUGCAACCACAACUUGUCGACGAUGUGUACCUCACCACUACACACGACCCACGGGACGACUUACCAUUGGCUUCCUAUGGUUAGGCCUAUGUAGGACCGGAGCCCGAGGACCGGUGUAUGUGAACGCAGUCUGUCUUGUGACUUUUCAGACGGGCCAAGCGUAGUCGCCGCUCUCCGUCGGUUGGGACGACGAAGGCAGAGGCAAAGACGAAGACGAGGUGAGGUGACCGGCCGGCCAGCAAGUACCGGCGCUACUACCCCUAAAGGCGAAACGCGAGGGUGGUGGGCGAGGGGGACAGCUGGCGCGCGGGCCGGUGCCGAGAGGGGGCGCGGUGCAGCGGCUGCAGCGUGGUUGGGUCGAGCGAGCGCGAAGAUGCUACGGCUACGGCUACGGCUGCGUCGGAGGGGGUAAGAACGACGUCGAGGAGAGGAGCGCGGAGUGAGAGCGGUCCGCGGGGGCUGAGCCGACGAAAGUACCGUAACCGAGGGUUGUUACGGCGGGAAGCGGUGGCGGAGUAGCGGGGGUUGAGGUGGCGGCCGAGGCCUCUACGGCGGCGGUGGCCUCCGGACGGGUCGCAACAACCGUAGCGCGUGGACCGCCACAGCGACCCGUAGCACGACCGGUGCCUGUUCAUGGACUUCGUCCGCAAGCACCGCCGCAGGUAGUUCAAGGGGUCGCGGGAGAAGCCGUACAAGACGUAGAAGAGGCACGAGGAGCAGGAGCUGUGGCAGCGCGGCCGCGACCGGUUCCGGAAGUACCUGAAGAAGCUCGGGCGGUGCGAGAAGUAGGUCGCGACCGACGGCGAGAAGAUGCAGGGGAGGGAGCAGCAGGACGGGGAGCGGCAGUCCCUGCAGGGCCGGCGGAGGCCGGAGUUCUAGACGGAGUAGUGUAAGCCACCGACCAAGCGAAGCGACCGCCACCGCCCCAUGUGCCGCGAGUGGCACUCCUUCUAGCAGUUCUGCCUCGAGUAGCGCCGGCUCGGCUACCCGUUCGGCAGGCGGAAGCGCUGCAACCUCAAGACCCGCACCCCGCGGCAGAAGCAGCGGAGCAAGCGCUGCCGCAAGCACUUGGGGUGCCGCGAACCGUGGUGCCGGUCCUGCACGGAGGGCAAGUACGAGCGAAGGUGACAUGACCCUAUGUACCAACCAAGACCCAAUGGCAGACCAUAGUUCUUUAACAAUGUGGGCUAGUAGACGACGCGCGAAAGACGUUUAAACAGCCGCCAGCGUAUGCCCAUGGAGAGGCCCAGGCCUUAGCUACGACGCGAUCCACUAAUGGACUGUUUCCACGGUAGUUUAGGACCUCGACCACUGCACGACUACCCAAAAGACCCCAGACAGUAGAAUAGUAAACGGAAGAGUUACAAGUUCGUCUCUUUCGAACACUUUUCCGUGCGCCGUCUUUAAAAGUGCAGCUAGCGCUAACGCAGCUGUAAGAGGGACAUGAGGUGCCGGUAGGAUCCUGCGGACUAACCCGACCUCGGUUGUAACUGGUAGAGCUAAAACGGUUCCACGUAUUGGCACCGCAACCGAGACUCGUAUCACAGAAAGAAGCUUCCGCGUUUGUGAAGCGACUGCCGACGGCACCAACAAGACUGCCCGGACUAGCCGCGGUUGAAACACGUUCGCCGGUACCUAUUCGAACCGGAGUUGCUGGGGUAUCGAUCUCCCUAGCCUUGUCGAAGGUCACGAGUACCCGACCCUUGGCGCCGCGACAGCCGGUUCCUCGGACUCCGCGAGGGAAAGACGCGCUAGCGGAUGCGCGAGUGGCCGUAAAAGCCGAGUGACUAGACGAGGAGGGGCCGUCAGUCCGUUUCGGACCACAAGUAUCGGCCGACUGUGUGUAUAUAUGACCAUAUGUCGUUGUUGUCGUCGAACACUACUCAAAAAGAAAGGAAAAAUAUUUUUUUACCAUUCACUAACCUCUUGUUUUCACGUUUUAAAGGGCGGUUUUUUUCCAGUUGUACAUUUUUACCUACCAACGUUGUUCAGUUCCACACUCAUCAUGAGGGAACGAACAUAUCGACGUUUUACAAGUCACUAACGAAAAGAAGUACACUACAAAAAAGAUUUCCUUGUUCUCAUUAUCGGAUUAACGAAACUACGGUUGUUAACCGUAAGGAUAGUUAACCAACCAACCGUUGUUUAGCAAGAACGGAGAAAUGUACCGGGAAAAACGGAUACACUUCGGCUCUCUGUUCAUUUUUCCUUCCUUCACUCGAGAGUA